UUGUCAUUGGCGUGGGCAUCUUUGCAGUUCUGGUUGUUGUAGCUGUGCUGGUUUUUGUGCUGUGCAGGAAGUGGACUGGAGGUGACAAGAGAGAAGGCUAUGAUAAGGCUGCAAGAGACGACAGUGACCAGGGUUCUGAUGCUUCCCUCAGAGCUGAAAAAGUGUGACACAGCU